GUUUAAGUAGCAAAGAAGCAAUGCAGAAGGUUUAGGUCCUUCCACCAGGGGUGCAAAUCCUUUCUUAAACU
rnacentral:tRNA from 1 species